rnacentral:rRNA from 1 species
AACGAACACUGGCGGCAUGCCUAACACAUGCAAGUCGAACGAGACCUUCGGGUCUAGUGGCGCACGGGUGCGUAACGCGUGGGAACCUGCCCUUAGGUUCGGAAUAACUCCCCGAAAGGGGUGCUAAUACCGGAUAAUGUCUUCGGACCAAAGAUUUAUCGCCUUUGGAUGGGCCCGCGUUGGAUUAGCUAGUUGGUAGGGUAAAAGCCUACCAAGGCGACGAUCCAUAGCUGGUCUGAGAGGAUGAUCAGCCACACUGGGACUGAGACACGGCCCAGACUCCUACGGGAGGCAGCAGUGGGGAAUAUUGGACAAUGGGCGAAAGCCUGAUCCAGCAAUGCCGCGUGAGUGAUGAAGGCCUUAGGGUUGUAAAGCUCUUUUACCCGGGAUGAUAAUGACAGUACUGGGAGAAUAAGCUCCGGCUAACUCCGUG